rnacentral:tRNA from 1 species
GCGGGUGUAGUUCAAUGGCAGAACGGCAGCCUUCCAAGCUGCAUGCGAGGGUUCGAUUCCCUUCACCCGCUC